rnacentral:rRNA from 1 species
UACAGAGGUCUCGAGCGUUAGGCGGAAUCACUGGGCUUAAAGCGUGUGUAGGUGGAUCGUUAAGUACCUUGUGAAAUCCCACGGCUUAACCGUGGAACUGCUUGGUAUACUGGCGGUCUUGAGUCAGCUAGGGGCUACCGGAACAAAUGGUGGAGCGGUGAAAUGCGUAGAUAUCGUUUGGAACGCCAAUGGUGAAAACAGACUGCUGGGGUUGUGCUGACACUGAGACACGAAAGCCAGGGGAGCAAACGGG